rnacentral:rRNA from 1 species
GACGAACGCUGGCGGCGUGCUUAACACAUGCAAGUCGAACGGAAAGGCCCUGCUUUUGUGGGGUGCUCGAGUGGCGAACGGGUGAGUAACACGUGAGUAACCUGCCCUUGACUUUGGGAUAACUUCAGGAAACUGGGGCUAAUACCGGAUAGGAGCUCCUGCUGCAUGGUGGGGGUUGGAAAGUUUCGGCGGUUGGGGAUGGACUCGCGGCUUAUCAGCUUGUUGGUGGGGUAGUGGCUUACCAAGGCUUUGACGGGUAGCCGGCCUGAGAGGGUGACCGGCCACAUUGGGACUGAGAUACGGCCCAGACUCCUACGGGAGGCAGCAGUGGGGAAUAUUGCACAAUGGGCGGAAGCCUGAUGCAGCAACGCCGCGUGCGGGAUGACGGCCUUCGGGUUGUAAACCGCUUUCGCCUGUGACGAAGCGUGAGUGACGGUAAUGGGUAAAGAAGCACCGGCUAGCUACGUGCCAGCAGCCGCGGUGAUACGUAGGGUGCGAGCGUUGUCCGGAUUUAUUGGGCGUAAAGGGCUCGUAGGUGGUUGAUCGCGUCGGAAGUGUAAUCUUGGGGCUUAACCCUGAGCGUGCUUUCGAUACGGGUUGACUUGAGGAAGGUAGGGGAGAAUGGAAUUCCUGGUGGAGCGGUGGAAUGCGCAGAUAUCAGGAGGAACACCAGUGGCGAAGGCGGUUCUCUGGGCCUUUCCUGACGCUGAGGAGCGAAAGCGUGGGGAGCGAACAGGCUUAAAUACCCUGGUAGUCCACGCUGUAAACGGUGGGUACUAGGUGUGGGGUCCAUUCCACGGGUUCCGUGCCGUAGCUAACGCUUUAAGUACCCCGCCUGGGGAGUACGGCCGCAAGGCUAAAACUCAAAGGAAUUGACGGGGCCCCGCACAAGCGGCGGAGCAUGCGGAUUAAUUCGAUGCAACGCGUAGAACCUUACCUGGGUUUGACAUGGAUCGGGAGCGCUCAGAGAUGGGUGUGCCUCUUUUGGGGUCGGUUCACAGGUGGUGCAUGGCUGUCGUCAGCUCGUGUCGUGAGAUGUUGGGUUAAGUCCCGCAACGAGCGCAACCCUUGUUCACUGUUGCCAGCACGUUAUGGUGGGGACUCAGUGGAGACCGCCGGGGUCAACUCGGAGGAAGGUGGGGAUGACGUCAAGUCAUCAUGCCCCUUAUGUCCAGGGCUUCACGCAUGCUACAAUGGCUGGUACAGAGAGUGGCGAGCCUGUGAGGGUGAGCGAAUCUCGGAAAGCCGGUCUCAGUUCGGAUCGGGGUCUGCAACUCGACCUCAUGAAGUCGGAGUCGCUAGUAAUCGCAGAUCAGCAACGCUGCGGUGAAUACGUUCCCGGGGCU